CUUUCUUCGUGCUGAGGAUUGAACCCAGGGCCUCUGGCUGCCCCAGUUUUAAGGCAGGACCUCCUGCAAGUGCGGGAACCUAGCUCAUCGGGGGACCUUUGCAUUUAACCUUGUAGAUAAUGUAUGAUAUAUGUGUGAUAUAUGAAUAAUAGGUCUAAGGAGGGGCAGAGACAGUGCCCUAAGAGACAGCAGGGAGAAGACUACUGCCUCCCAUCUGCUGCUGAGUUCAAGACCAUCCCUUUUCCAGAGAUCAAACGGCUAACAAAGGAAGAUGAGCCCAGGAGGUGGAAGCCCAUGUGUUCAGAUCUCUCCACAGCCUUGACCUCCAGAGUUUACAGACUUAUUUUGUAAUUUGGCCUUGUAACAAACUGCCAUGCUGUGGAUGUCUUAUUUCCUCCUCUCUACAUAUAUUUCUGUGUAAUAGCACCAUCUAACAAGACUCCCAAAUUCAAAUUAAGGGAAAAGAAAAUCAGUACCUAUAUGGCACCUAAUAUUUGCCAGAUAAUUUGCAAUCUACAUGUCCUUGAAUCCCGCCAUCCUGGGCAUACUAGUUAUCUACUACUGGAGAAUAAGCCAUACCAACAUUUAUUGCCUCAUGAAUGGGCUAGUCAACAAAUUUAGGUGAACUGGCUGUAAAGAGAGGCACCUUGUUUCACCUUCCCUUGAUGUCUCAUUAGCUCUAGGCUAAUGCGGGCUUGUACUCUUGGACACAGCAGUUCUGAAAGAACAAGCAUAUGCAUUCAGGAUCUUUCCAGCUUAGGUACCAAACUAACACAUCUCAAAGAGCUUUCUAUGGGCCAUAGCAAAUAAGGCCAGCCCAGAAUCUAGGUCUGGGGAAGAGAUUCUGCAUCUCAAUGGGAAUAGCAAUAAGACACAUUGCCAAGGUCAUGGAUACAGGAAAGAAGAAAUGCUGACAUGCUUUCAAUCAGUAGCAUUCUACCUUUCCUUAUAGAUGAAGUUUACAUAACUGUUUCAAGUCAAAGAACUUGUCUAAAGCCUCACAAUUUAAGCAGCUUGGCUAAGACUCAGAAUCAACUCUGCCUGACUCCAAAGCCCAAACAUCCAUGACUCAAAUUCCUAAAAGUCACUUCCUUUGUGCUUUUAGGUCUUAGACAGUGACACUUAUUGAUUUGUGUCCAUCUAGUACUCCUCACCAUUGGGAAUGUUAUCCUUUGAAAGAAUGCUUCUGAAGCAUCUAGGAAGGACUUGGAAUAAUCUGGGGAAAUGGCUGAUAACUGAAUUUAGGAAACUGAGGACCAAAAAUAUAUUUUUCAUUUCUCAUCAUAGGAGAAAUCUGAAAAUUUGUGUAAUGGAUCCCAUGGGCAUGCAAAUUCUUUUCAUCCUUUUUGGCAUUUGCAGGCUACUUAUUAUUUUCAACACAAACAAAACCAAACUACUGUGCCUGAAACAUCUUCCUCUGAAAAUAACAUAAAGAGAGAUGUGGAAUGUCUGCUGAGAACACAUUUUCUCCUGCUGAAAUUUAGCCACACAGGUAUUUUAUGCUGCUUCUCUUCUGGAUCAGCUACAGUUGGAUGCUUAAUAGGACUACUUCCUUGCGUGUUACCUAAGCAUGACUAUUUCCUGGGGCCAAGGAUUUGUGCCUGCAGUUGCUUAGUCUUCACUGCUCCCUGAGGAACGGCUAUAGGAAUCUGUGGGGGAUUUCAAGUCUCUUCUUCCCCAUCCUAGAUAAAGAGAACAUCCUCCAAAUUCCAAAUUUAACCUGACAUCUUCUGCUUCUCAGAACCUCAGCACCAGUCCACCAUCCGGCCAACUCAUCCUGGUCCUGCAGUCUGGGCUGUGCCCGCCAUCCCAACAAGCCGGCCUCUCCCCAGGUCCUGCUACGCCCCUGCUUGUGGGCAAGCUGCUGCUCAAGCUUUCGCUUUACGCACUGGCAUUUCGUCUGUCUCUCCGUGUUUCAGAGAAAAUGAAGUCUCCUGUACAUCCCUCAUUCCCUUUGGUGUUUUAGAAUGAUUUCCACAAAGAGGAGAAAAUGCUAACUUCAAACUCCACUCCCACCCGGGAAUCGGACCCACUCAAUAUAGAGUUCAGGACUGUGGGAACCGGGGAAGAGACUGCUGAGAACAGCCCAGCACAGCCCCAUGAGCUAGGCUCUUUCUACCCAGCCUCCUUCCCAGGACACA